UAGACGAUCUUUGCCCGAGCUGUAGUAUGUGCGCUGGGGAAAAGCUCCGCUCCCACUGGCUGCUAACCAGCGACCGGACGGCACUUUCUGUUUGUUUUCAGCACUGACCGCUGCUGCUGGUAUUGUUUUGCGGCGUUUCGGGCAAUCCUUCAUUAAACACACUGCUGUUUAUGGUCGCAUCGCUGCGACUUUUUCAUCGUAGCUGCUGGCCUGUGGGGCUAGCUGGCUAGCGGAGCCAGUGACAGAGUGGAGCCAGCUGGUCAGACGGAGCCGCGGUUACGUUAGCAAACAAGCUAAUUAGCCGGAAAGACUCAGCCUGGAUUACUGUCCCUAAUCAAACUGGGUGCAAGUCUGCUGGUUCACUUACUGCGCGAAAAAUGAAGAUUACUGUGGAUUUCGAGGAAUGUUUAAAGGACUCGCCAAGGUUUAGAGCCACUAUAGAGGAAGUGGAGGGGGAUGUGUGCGAGCUGGAGUCCAAGCUCGACAAACUGGUGAAGCUGUGCAUUGGGAUGAUUGACGCUGGAAAGGCCUACAAUGCAGCCAACAAGCAGUUUGUUAGCGGGAUCAGGGAACUAGCCCAGCAGUCCACCAAAGACGAGGUCAUCGAGUCCAGUCUCACAAAAUUUGCAGAGAGUCUGCAGGAGAUGAUCAACUAUCACACGAUAUUAUUUGAUCAGGCCCAAAGAUCAAUCAAGACCCAGCUUCAAACAUUUGUCAAAGACGACCUGCGCAAGUUUAAAGAAGCCAAGAAGCAAUUUGACAAGGUGAGCGAGGAGAAGGAGGCAGCGCUGAUCAAGAACGCCCAGGCACCCCGCAACAAGCAGCACGAGGUGGAGGAGGCCACCAACAUCCUCACAGCCACACGAAAGUGCUUCCGUCACAUCGUCCUCGACUACGUCCUGCAGAUCAAUGUGCUACAAUCUAAGAGAAGAUCAGAAAUCCUAAAAUCGAUGCUGUCCUUCAUGUAUGCACACUUAACGUUCUUUCACCAAGGAUAUGACCUCUUCAGUGAGCUUCAGCCUCUUAUGAAGCAGUUAGGAGGACAGUUGGACCAGCUGGUGGUGGAUGCUGCCAAGGAGAAGAGGGACAUGGAGCAGAAGCACUCCACCAUUCAGCAAAAGGCCGCUCUGCAGGAGGCAACAGAGCUCGACUCUUUACUAGACUGCCGCAGCUUUUCUGCUUGGAGGUCGACCUCCGAUUUCUCGAAUGACGACACCAAGCUGGAGUACAAUGUGGAUGCAGACAAUGGCAUCGCCAUGGAGGGGUAUCUGUUUAAGAGGGCCAGCAAUGCAUUCAAGACCUGGAACAGGCGUUGGUUCUCCAUCCAAAACAAUCAGCUAGUUUACCAGAAGAAAUUCAAGGAUAACCCGACAGUCGUGGUGGAAGACUUACGGCUAUGUACAGUCAAACACUGUGAAGACAUAGAGCGUCGCUUCUGUUUCGAAGUGGUGUCGCCCACCAAGAGCUGCAUGAUGCAGGCGGACUCUGAGAAGCUGCGACAGGCCUGGAUCAAAGCGGUGCAGAACAGCAUCGCCACCGCCUUCCGUGACAAGGGAGAUGACGGCGAGAAGUUAGACAGGAAGUCCUCCACGUCAACGGGGAGCCUGGACUCUGGUGGGGAGACGAAGGAGAGGUCUCUUAAAGGAGAGAGUGCCCUGCAGAAGGUCCUGGCCAUCCCGGGCAACGCCAGCUGCUGUGACUGUGGCCAGCCGGACCCCCGCUGGGCCAGCAUCAACCUGGGCAUCACCCUCUGCAUCCAGUGCUCUGGUAUUCAUAGGAGCCUGGGGGUACAUUUCUCUAAGGUUCGGUCUCUCACCUUGGACACAUGGGAGCCAGAAUUACUUAAGCUGAUGUGUGAACUGGGGAACAGAGUGAUCAACCAGAUCUAUGAAGCCCGCCGGGAGGAGCUAGGAGCCCGAAAGCCUCAGCCAGGAGAUCCAAGACAAGAGGUGGAGGCGUACAUCAAAGCCAAGUACGUCCAUCGCCGCUUUGUGCGCAGGCCGUCGGACGAGGAGCUUCAGAACAAAGUGGUUACUCUGAGCAAACAGGAGAAGAGGCUCAGCAGCAGCUCCGAGCACCUGCCCCCAAAAGCGCCGCCGCCCACCCCGAAACUGCGACCUGGUUCUAACGUCUCCGGACAGUCAGCUGUUGCCAGCGGCUUGGAGGCCCGGCGCGACUCUCUCUUCUGUGCUGACGAGCUUGACUCGCUCUUCUCCUACUUUGACACCUCCUCCAAGCUCAGGAGCAUAAAAAGCGCAGACAGCGGCAUCCAGAACAGCGCUGAUGGGAGCAGGGAGAUGCUGGCCACCACCCCCUCCAAUAACAGCCUGGCAGAUGCAGACGCCGCUGAGUCUCCACCCAUGCCUGCCACCCUGCCGCCCCCGUCGCCCUGCAAGGAGGUGGUGUUCUACGAGCCCAAAGAGUACAGCUCGGGUCUGCAGCUCUACUGGGCGUCGUGUGCCCGAAGCCUGCCGGACAUGGCCGAGGCGCUCGCCCACGGGGCCGAGGUCAACUGGGUCAACACGGAGGAGGAGAAGAGGACGCCGCUCAUCAUGGCCGUGCACGGGGGUUCACUGGUCACCUGUGAGUUUCUGCUUCAAAACGCAGCUAACGUGAACCAGCAGGACGCUCAGGGCCGAGGCCCCCUCCACCACGCCACCAUGCUGGGACACACAGGGCAAGUGUGUUUAUUCUUAAAAAGAGGAGCGAAUCAAAAUGCUCUGGACAUUGAUGAGAAAACACCUUUGACCAUAGCGGUGGAGGCGGCCAACGCAGACAUCGUCACCCUGCUGCGACUGGCCAAGAUGAACGAGGAGAUGCGCGAGGCGGAGGGCCCCUACAGCCAGUCAGGUCAAUAUAACACCAACAGCCCCACCGAGAUGCAGUACAGGAAGUGCAUGCAGGAGUUCAUUAGCCUGCAGCUGGAUGAAAGUGAUUAGCAACCCAGGAGCAGCUUGUAAACCACGGCAGAUGUUUUAGAGUUGGGCUCAGUUCACAGCAGGAAGCCUUAAAUACAGAGACUAUUAAUUCCUAGUGCUUUGAGUUUUUUUUAAUGAAUUGACCUGUUAUUGUAAUGAGCCCAAAUCUAUCAUCUGCUCCAGGUCAGGUACUAGACUGAUGUCGUAUGACAGGGUUAGAGCCAUCAGCUCUGGACACGACUCAAACGUUUUGACCCAAAGUAGAACAUUUGCGUUCUUUAAUUAGCAGCUGUUGUAAGUAGAAUUUGAUCCCCUCUGUUUUGGAGGUUCUCUGUGAUUUAUAGCAGCUAAUGAAAAUAUUUAUUGGGCUUGGAAGCUUUUCAUUAUUUUAUUAUUAUUGCAUCUCUACUAGGAGUGACCAUAUGCAAAGAAAUAUUAAACAACCCAAUAACUGCCACUUCAGUGACACUCGGACCUCAAGUGAUAGCAGUUUUUAUUCUUGGCAAUAAUUGUGACCUUUGAAUGACAUGUUUUAUCAUCUGAUCACUCUGGAAAGGACUAAUGUUUAUUAUUAAUCCGCCAAGUUGUAUUCUGCAAAAAAAAGCCUGUGGUGUACGCGUUCCCAUUGAAAGUCUUGUUUGUCAGAAAAGAAUCUAUUUUAGAGCAGUUUGUUUUUCUUUAGCUGAUUCUAUGCAGCAUAGAAAUGUAGAUAUUGUAAUGAUAAUGAUAUGCUAACAUUUGUUCAGAGUCUAAUAGAAUAAGCAGAGUUUCACCAGGUGUUCCCAAACUGUUGUUUUAAUUUCAAUGUUUCCCUUUUGACUGUAAUGUAUUUAUGACUGUGCUUGGUUAUUAGUCAAUGUAAUAGCUCAUUGCUCAUUGCCAGUAAUGACGGCAAACCCAAAAUUGAAAGAUUUUGUCCUCUCAGAUGUCAGUGGAUUACAUAUUUAACAACCGUGCUUAAAUGAUACAUCAUCAAACAACAAGUGCAACAGAAGAAAAUCCACAUGUACAGAUUUAUGUAACCACUACUCCUGUCGUAUAUUUAUAUCAGUCAUUUCCUAAAAGUUUACUGUAUAUACUCAGAACAUCAUGCUUAUGCAGGUUUACUGAUGACGUCACUUUGAUCCUACAUCUGUCGCCUCCAAAGCUUUGAGGGACGUGUGCUGACAGGACGUUAAGUGGUGCUGACCCGUGAAGCAGGAUCUUGCUUCUGUAGUGUGGAGUGGUGUAGAGUUGAACCUAAGAGGCUUCUGCCACGUUUCUAGAUUGUAGAGUGUUUGUGUGUGUUGACCGCACAAGGGAGGGCUUCACUCAGAACUGUCAUCCUUUAGCGAUGAAAGAUGGAUAUGCUGCUGUAGGUCGUCUGACUGAUGUUAGCUUGAAUGCUGCUUUUUUAUUAAAAGGUUAAUUUUGCUCUUAGGAAAAUGUCAGGAAUGUUUAGUUUGGAUCCAUGAUGGGAGUGGACUGUCUGUUUUUAGGAUGUGCAGUGGUCAUUGGUGAACAUCAGGGUUUUAGUCAUGGAGUUCACAGGGGCGUCUUCAUCAACACCUUUAAUCAGCCCAUUAACAAUAAGACUGAUGGGGGAUAUUCAGGGUUAUUGAAUGUGAAUGAGAGCUAAUCUCAUCAAUCAGCUCUUUUUUUUUUUAAUUACAGUUCCCUCAGCUCAAGUAAUUUCCUGACUGUGUGUGUGGACGUGCAGAGCAGCGGCUCUCACGAGGCGUAGCCAUUUUGAAAUGAUAUAUAUUUUAUAAAGAUAUAAUUGCUCAUCAACAUCUUGCUGACAUGUGCUUCCAGCAGUGUCCAGUAGUAGUCGGGUUGAGGAGCACUGCCCUUCUGAAACACACUCCCAUCAACUUCUCGCUCUGUAACUUCACUCUCCAUGUUCUGUAUUUUACUUUACUUGUCUCUCUCUCUCUCCUCCCCAGAGUUUGUGCCUUUCUUCUCUUUGUUUUCUUUUCUUUGGGGCGCUGAGGCCAACACAACUGUAUUUUGUACAUAAACUCCUGCACUUUAUUCACAAUACAGUUGUUGAUGAAAGCUCCUGUGGGCUGGUCCCUUCUUUCUGGGUCGAUCUCUAGUUGCUCUGGCUGUUGUUUCUUGCUCUCUUCUUUCCCGUCUCUUCUCUCCCCCCGCCUUGUUCUGUUUCAUAUUUCGAGCCUCGCUGACAAUCUCACAGGAGAUGAAACUUACCAGGACAUUUUCCAGGACUUCACCCACAUGGCCUCCAACGAUCCGGACAAGCUGAACCGCUACCAGCAGCACGACCCUCAGCGGCCUUGACGCAGCGACCACGCUCAGAGACGCUUCUGCGCGGCCUGAGAUGGACAGAACUCAGCCUCUACCGCGAUGGACGUGGGUGAUUUCAUCUUUCUCCAGCGUCACUAGGAAACGUCGGGCUACCGGCCGGUUGGUGCUUCUGAAAUGUGUUCGUGAAAUUUAAAGUCCUGCAGCCGUGUUAAAACGGCAAGAGAAAGGAUUUUAGCUGCGCUGCGCAGCAGGACAUAAAAGAUUAAGGUACAGUGUUAAAGACUAUUAAGAGGAUUUCUAAUCAUAAUCAUUUGAAUGUAGAGCUGCCAACAGGCUGAGUUUAACCUUUACUGUCACACGUCCUGACAUAAGACCAUUUCUUUUAAAUACAUAAAGGAGAAGGGGAGAGUUGCAUCAGCGAAGUGUUGGACAGGCUGUUAAAUACUCUGCUUCAGUCUUUAAGUGCUUCCUCCUUUUGAGUGGGGCUCUCUUCCUAUCAAUGCCUUGCUUCAGUGAGCUCUGUGCAGCGAGUCCAUGGCAACAUGCUUUUACUUAUUUGCACAAAUCCUGUUGUCUUAAAUCACCACUGAUGUUUACCAGUUUGAUGGUAAGACGUUGACAUGUUAAACAAUGUGCAUUGAUUGUUGAAGGAAAUGUGUUAUUGAUGCAUCUAAUGUUAAAAGUUAUUUUGAUUGUUUAAAUGCUUGUUAUCUUUAGGAUGAUUUACAUGUUGUCACGUCGUUAUUUAGCCUUUUUAGAUUUCAACAUGCUUAAAGUAAUAAUUUACAUAUAACUGCUGUAGUUUCCUGGAAAUAAUUGUAUAAUUUGUCAAUUUGAGGGAGUAUUGCAGCAGUAAAGAGCUGCCGAGUGUUUGCAGCUCGUAAUGUUUCAUUACUCGCAAACAUUACGAAUGAAGAGAACGAAAAAUGAAUUUUAUUAAAUGCCAACACGUCUCCAUUAGACGCCGUUUCCUGUGAGCCCUUCAGAUUAAAAGUAACUCAUUUAAUAGACUGAGGCAGGAGGUAAUGAUCUACUGUAAGACAACGAACAGUAGUGAUGAAUUUCAUGGUGCAUCAUAAUCAAUUAUCAUGUAAUAGCUAAUCGUCUCUUAGUUAUACAGUCCUUUCUAGGAAAUGUUCGAAAAACCACUUGCAUAAUUUAUUAUGAAAUUGUAGAUUUAAAACUUAAAGCUUUCACAUUCACUUUGGAAAAUCUGUGACAUUGACCGAGUAAGUUGUUAAACAAUAAUUGUGUUUUUUUUGAAUGAAUGAACAGUUUGGACUUUGAACUUUUUCCAGCCCUGAACUGAACUGUGCAGUUUUCUGUGUCAUCCUCUGCUCAGUUCUGACAUCGACAGUGAUGCGUUCAGUUUCAGCUUGGAGCUUUGGCCAAUGCAACGUGGGAUACAAGUCUUGUACAUUUUGUACAGAUGCUUUUCAAUUAUACAGCGACGUAUAAAGUUAGUGGUACUUGAAUGAAUAAAUAAGCUUUUGUAUAUGCUCUUGUUUUGUACUCUUGAGUCAUUUUAGCCCAUGAUCUGUGGCCUGUCUAUGUUAAAAUACAUUUACUGUGUAUUCUGCC